GCUCCUCGGCUGGCAGCCGCUCCACUCCGGCUACAGCCCCGGCUUCUUCCUACUCCCCGUGCCCGGCACCGCCACUUCCGCCUCCGCCCCCCUCCAGCGCGACCCGCUCCAGCAGCUGGAUACCAGACCACGCUUUCCGAAGGGCGGGAUUGGCGGACUCGCGGGCAGGGGGCAGGACAAAAGGCGCGGAUUGGUGGCGUGAGAAGCCCAAAGGGGUGGAGCCAAGGCCAGCGAUUGGCCGAGCAAGUGGGAAGGGACGUGCAGAGCUGCUUUGCCGAGCCGAGGAACGGAUUUAGUCUGGAGUCCGGGGGCAGAGUCGAGUCUCCGGAUUGGUUUGGAGCGGACUUGGGGGAGGGGAUACGAAUGCAAAGAAGGGGGCAAGGGCAGGAUUGACAGAAAGAGACUGGAAGAGGAGCUGAUCUUGAGCUGGCGGGAGCGAUUACUGGUCUCAAAGGCAAAAAGGAGGAAAACUCGGAAGAUAGGCGCAGCUUCCGGUCAGCCAGCUUGGGCAUGGGGCCACCCCCGACACCAGGUCCGGAGAAGGCAGACAGCAAGACGAUGACACCGAGGAACACCAGGGACCAGGCCAUCGUGGACUGUGAGCAAGAGAGUACCUGGGCUCCUCUGCUGUCCCCUCUGGCGACAGAAGCAGGAGGAGCCUGUAAGGAAAACCACCUUGGAAUUUCCUGUGCUGUGGGGCAGGAGAACAAGGCAGCCCUUUGAUGACCAGAAACAACUCAGCCCUGG